rnacentral:rRNA from 1 species
GAUGAACGCUAGCUACAGGCUUAACACAUGCAAGUCGAGGGGUAGCAGGGUAGCAAUACCGCUGACGACCGGCGCACGGGUGAGUAACACGUAUCCAACCUUCCCAUAACUCAGGGAUAGCCUUUCGAAAGAAAGAUUAAUACCUGAUAGUACUUAAGAAAGGCAUCUUUUUUAAGUUAAAGAUUUAUUGGUUAUGGAUGGGGAUGCGUUCCAUUAGAUAGUUGGUGAGGUAACGGCUCACCAAGUCUUCGAUGGAUAGGGGUUCUGAGAGGACGGUCGCCGACAUUGGUACUGAGACGCGGAGCAAACUCCUACGGGAGGCAGCAGUGAGGAAUAUUGGUCAAUGUGCGAGAGCCUGAACCAGCAAAGUAGCGUGAAGGAUGAAGGUCCUAUGGAUUGUAAACUUCUUUUAUAGUAGAAUAAAGUGAUCCACGUGUGGAUUUUUGUCUGUAUACUAUGAAUAAGGAUCGGCUAACUCCGUGCCAGCAGCCGCGGUAA